UUCAACUUCUGCAAUGCAUAGAAGCUAAAUUAUAAAAAUAUAAAAUCUAAAUAUAUUGGUAUUACUAAUACAUGUUUAAGUGUUUCGGUUACAAAGAAUCUGAUCCAAGUUACUGUGCUUUACUAAGAAACCAGUGUCUAAUAAUGUCCAAAUAAGGUCAUAAAUAUACAGUGUCUGUAGAACAGGAAUAAUACAUUUACGUGUUAUAGGAAAGAUGGUAAAUACUCAUUUCUUUGCUCGAGUUGGAAUUAACACAUACACUGUACUAGAGGUAUAUUCCACUCUAAGACUGUGUACGCUCUUCCUUUUUCUGUACACAACUUAAAACUGUACAUUUUUUUACAAAAAUUGAUUUUAUAGCCUAUUAUUUUCUUAACACAAUGCAGAUAACAUCAGGAAAUUACAUAUUUCAAAUAGAUUGCCUUGAAAAGCAACUAAUUAAUGACAAAUUUCAAAAUACACUAUUAUUUUCAAGAAUGGUGUAACUGAAAGACUCAUUUUUCUAUCAAUCAAAGCCAUCCAUUUCUGCAUUAUGAAGAGUUUAACUACUUAAUUUUAAUUUUAUAGUUAAAUAUAUUUGUUAGAAAAAAAUAAAUAUACAAAAAACCUGAAAAAUUUGAAAUUAUUUUUCAACUGCAAAAUCUCAGCAAUGUAGUCAAGAUCUGGAAAAUGGUUUACUUAAUUUCACAGGAUAAUUUCUGUACAAAUUUAGUUACAAAUGAUCUAAAAAGCCCAAAUGUAUCACUUUUUCAUUCUUCCGACAGUUAAAUGACAGCUAAUAUUUAUCCUUAUCAGAAAUAAUUAUGUAAUGUUAUUUUGCCAAGGUUCAAUUGCAGACUUUAUUUUUCUACAUCAGGGUCAUGCUGAUACAUAUUUUCCCCAUCCUCACUUUUUAAAAAUGUAGUAUCUGAAAAUUUUGAUUACAUUUUUGUACCAUACCAGUCCUCAGAAAAUACUACAUUCUUUAAAUUUUUAAAAAAAUGGACAGUAAUUUUUAAACAAUAGAAAUGGUAAGUAUGUUGGUUUUUAAGGUAUAAAAUAACUGUACCAUAAACAAAUAAAUAACUGCUUUCCUUUUCCAUAGCAGUACAUAUAGCAAUACAUUCUCCUAAGUCAUAUAGUUAUCAUUUACAAUAGACAACUUAAUUUUACUAAUGAUGCAAAAAAUAAUAGAAUACAAGGCACAAUCAUUAAAUGGAGUUUUUCUUUAGGGUGUAUAUUGACAUACCAGCAUGAUAAGGAUACCGUAAAAAGUGCAGAAAAAACACAAUGUGCAAUGAGACCACUGUAUAAAACAUGAUUGCAUAAAAAGUGAUUUGGCCUAUUUUAACCUUUAAUAAUUGAAAAUAACCAAUUUCCCCCUUAAAAUUAAACUAUAAAGUAUGACAUUUUAAAAUUAUUUUUAUUCUACUGCUAUCUAAAAAAUCCUGAAAAAAGAAUUUAUACCUGGGUAAUAGUAUAUAAGUAUGUGUUUGUAUAUAUAUUUAAUUAUACCCAUUUAUCAAUAUAUACACAUACACACACAGACACGUUUCUUUGUAAGUCAUUUUAGGCUAUUAGAUAUGUCUAAAGUUUAGAAAUGACAUUAAUCCAGAUCGACAAGUAAACAUCAAAUCCUAUACCUUUUUUCCUGUAUUUUCCUUGAAUCCUUUAACCACUUAAACAUUUCCUCUAGAACAUCUCUGUCAAAGGACCCACCAGUGCAUUAUUUUCUAUUAGUACCAAAAAAAGAUAUAUCUCAGCAUAACUCUUUAAUAACUUGCUCUUUAGAAUAUAUAGCCUUUCCAAUAUUGAAAAGUGUAUGCUGUCCUGACAGUCAAAAACAGGCUUUCCACUGCACUGAUUCUCAGUCUUUGGCACAAUAAACAGAGAUUGAGUGAUAUAAGAAUCAAGGUCUGAAAAAUUAGACAGUCAAAUGUUUUCCAAUGUGGAUAUGUUUCCCUUCAUCAGUACAUUUUCUCUUAAGUUUGGCAGAAAUGGAAUAAAGCAAAAGCCUCCUCUAGAUACUGU
ensembl:lncRNA